UCUCUCUCUCUUUUUCUCUCUCUCUCUCUCUUUCCUCUCUCUCUCUGUCAUCAGCCUGUAGUGCUUCUAAAUAAUCCAGGCACUCUUUGCAGCUCAGCCUAGACUCUCUUAGGGCAGAGGUUUGUCGAAGAACCAUUAGCACUGUGGUAUGCAUGUGCUCAAGCGCCUUCUACCAUUGUGUCAGACGCAGAAACCUGAGCAAGUCCCUCCAUGCAGGUUGACUAGAUUAUUAUCUUGGCUUUAACACACUACAACCAAGGAACAUUUAAACGAAAAGCAGGCUUCCUGUCACACUCAAGCCUCAUUCAUCAUAGGAACACUCCCUGCAGUUAUUGCCACAUCUCUUCCUGCCCUUUCUCGGCCAGAUUUCUUGAAAAAAAAAAAAACUUGCUUCGUCCUCACACCUGGCCCAAUUGCAAGCUGGCUUUUACUCCCUACCCCUAGCCUUUCACAGCGUCUCUCCCUGGCUCCUGCAAUCACCUUCAGGCCACCUCCUGCUUGCACCAGCUGCAUCUGAUGCAGCAGACCCCACCUUUGUUUUUUGCUUAUUUCUCUGCCACUCUUUCACUCUCUCCAUCCUCAACAAACCUUUCAGUGUCUAACUCAAGGCCCAACACACUCCCCUAAUUUACAAAGUCUUCUCCUUCUUCACUCCCAAUCCUCCAUCAGGAGAGGAGUCAUCAAAGCCAUGGGAGCCGCAGGUUCUCCUGAAAGAAGAAAAAGGAGUGGGGACAGAGCCCCCAGGACCAUCAACAAAACAGGAGGGAAGAGAAUGAAGUCAGCUGGAAGAGAAUAGGGACGCUAAGGACGUGCCUACUGCUUCUAGGUGUGGCACAGAAUACAGAAAAUGUAAAAUAGGCAAGAUUCUUGUCUACAAAUUAUGAUCACAUCUGAUAUUCCAUGCAAGCACAGAGCAAUAUGUCAAACCAGAAUGCUGAAUAAGAUUUCACUGUCUCAACAUUGCUAAGAGGAAUAUGACAUUAACAUACUGAAACUCUCCUCCACUGUGGGAAAAGAACCAUGCAGAUGUGUUGGUUCCAAUUUGCUUACACACGUGUGUGGUACAGACAAGCAGCAGAAGACACUGCCCUCCUAUGGCAGGUUUAAUCACCAGAAACUAUUAACUACAAUUUUGUCCAAUUGCCAGUCUCAGCCUAGAAAUCUUCUCCCUUCCUGCCAAGACUUUACCCUCCUUCCCAUCUCAGCGUGAAGCUGCCUUUCCCAGGAAGUCUUCCACCACCUCCUGCGUGCCCCUUAUGUGUGACCAUUCACACUUCACACUGUGUGAUUCAGGUGACUCCUAGACAAGCCUUCUGUCUUCUGUAGGUCUGGAAGCUUCUCGGAGGUAGGGCUGAUCCCUCAAGGCAUCCAGCAAAGCACCUCCCCAACCAUGAGCACUAGAUGAGUAUUUAUGAACUGAAGUUUGUCUGAAGUUCCUGCAGGAGGAUGACGAUUAUUGCAGAGGGGUGCCAUUGCCAAGGCUCACCCCAGCCUAAGCCACCCAUUAGCCACGAAAUGCCACUAGAGAUUCCUGGUAUGGCACCUUCCUAGCCCCUGCACCAAGCAAAUAAUUCUGUACUUCAAAUGAAGGAAGGAUGGCUGAGGGAGAAUACGUCAGGCCCUCCCUGUCUCCUUCUGCAGCACUUCCUAGCCCAAGAGCCCUUGAAGGGCAUUUGUGACAUGGAGCAUUAGGGGGGUUAGUCUGUCCAGGCUGAGUAAUGGUCCAGGCCCUGGUCAGCUCAGGCUGUGCGUGUGUGUGUGUGUGUGUGUGUGUGUGUGUGUGUGAGAGAGAGAGAGAGAGCGCGAGAGAGAAAGAGAGACAGAGAGAGAGACAGAGCUUAGUAAUCAGAUAAUUCCAGUCAUUCCAACCAUCCAAAUCCCUUUCUGAUCCAUUUCUCCUCCCUCCCAGUUGAGCUCCCUGAAGACCUCACGACCCAUGACCCUCUGCUUGGUGACUCUACUCCCUUCCGUCUCCCCCUCCUCAUUCCAUGGUGACUUGCACCUGACCAACCUACUCCUGUCCAACUUCUCCUGUCACUUCAGCACCAUAGAUGCACCACACACUCAUGCUCCCAGUCCUCUGUCGUGUUGACAACCAUCCUCUCCCUCCUCAACAGCCUAACUUCACAAGUAAAUGCACCACCUUCAACAGCUUGCUUGGGAGCCUGAAGUUCGGUCAUUAUAAUCCACCAUGGUUCUUGCUCACUAUAGAAUCCUGGCUCCAACUCCUCCAUCCACCGAGCCUGGUCUGUAGGGCCAGAGUCUCACUUUAUUCCUCAUUGGGCUAGCCCCACUUGCUUUCUGAUGCCCUUACCUACCUUGCACCCUUUGUCUCUACUGGGGUGAAAUGUCAGCCCUGGUUAACCAGAAUCAUCAACCCCAUCAGAUCUGAAGAGCAGGCGCUGAGGGACAGCAAUGUCACAGCCAGGAAGACUCUUCUGAAAUGUCAGAUGAGCAGCAGCCCUGCCCAGCAGGCUCACCACAAUCCUUGGACAAGUUCACACUCCUCCCCUAAACAGUCUACUUGCACCCUCCCCUUUCUCAAAUCCUCUCUCCUACCCACCUCAACCUCUGCAGAGACCCACUACUCCUGGGGAAAGGUAGAAGUAAAGUCCCUCACUCCCAGGGGUGGUGCUUGAACCCUUUUGGGCUCAGGAUCUUGCACCACAAUAAAGCCCAAAGCCAUUGACACCCCUCCUAGCCACCCCAUGAACUCUAAACCUCAGCGUGGGUUGCCAGCCUGGCCUUUAUGUGGAGGAAAGGUGCUUCAUGGGAAGUGAUGAGAAAGCAUUACUCGUUUCCCCUACCGUGGGGUUAGUUCUUCCCUUUUCACUCCUCUGCAUGCCAGGGACCCACUGCAGAGCAGCCACCUGCAGGGAGACAUAUCCUGAUAUGUUUCUCUCCUUCCCCCUCCAAGCCCUUUUGUUUCUUCAGCUCCACCCUUUGCUGUGGGUUUUGGCCGCAUCCAGGGUGGAGCUAAGGAGGGUGAGGCAGCAGGAUUCUCACACAACUUGGAACUUUGUGAUGAUCUGGAAUCAACUCUUUCUGAGGCAAGUUCUUUCCUCCCUGGAAGGAACUUUGUAGGUUUUUUUCCGAGACUCCUUAGUCUCUGGGGCUCUCUUUCCAGCUGGUCACUGAAGACAACUUCCUGAGCCUUUAGGUGAUGAAGGAGCCUCAGAACUUACUCUGCUGUGGGGUUCUGCUCUUCAGGCAGCCCUCUUGGGUGAGAUAUAAAAUGACCCCAGCCAGCUUUCUCAGUGGAGCGGCCCAAACUUGGUCCUUGGGAAACACUCCCACAUUCCCUUUGCCCCUCAAGGUGUCAUGCAGGUCCCUCCCAGCAACCCUUUCAAAAACCCCUCUCAUCACCAGCCUUUUCUCAGUCUUUUAAACCUCUUUCUAGGCCAAAGAUAGGAGGCCAGCUAGGGUCACAAAACCAGUCUUUGGCAACCAUCUUCGUAAGGGAGUCUUGAGCAUGACUUGGGAAUCAGCCCCUAUCCAUCCUUCAGCACCCUUUUAAAAUCCUGCAGUCCUGGUUGCAUGCACAGUGAAGUUUAGUGCUUCAUGGCCGCUGUGCUUCUAAAGCAGGAAGGCAACAGAAAGCCAGGAAGCACACAUCCUAAAGGGGAAUGCACAACCAGAUAAUUUAACAUGUUAGCAAAGGUUCGACCCACCCCUCAGGCUCAGAAAGGCUGCCCCAUUGCAGGCUGUAUGGGAUUUUGCACCACAAUAUAAAUGAAUAUAUUUGUAUACACCAGGUGUAUACAAAUAACACCCAUAUGGUGCCCUCUGGCUCAUAUUAGUGUCUAGAAACCUGCAUGUGAGAAGAGGUGAUGAUGAUGACUGUGGUUUGCCUGGCCCGUGCACCCCACUUGCCUGGGGAGAGCUUUCCAGAUGGUGAAGCCCCUGCACCCAUCAAUCAAAGCGCAGUCUGAGAACAGAAAACCCCUUGUUCUUUCAAGCAGAGAAGGAUCUAGGGCAAAGAAUUAUUUACCAAGGUAUUGCAAUGGCUGGUGGGUGUGGCUGGAGGGCUGCCAAAGAAGGAAUAUAGAGGAGGGUUAACUAGAGAUGAAGAAGUCAUUACUGACCCGGCCCCCGAGCCUACACCAGCUACCUCGUUGCCCCAGGGGCCAGAAGCUGCUGCUGUGGCCAGCAUGGACAGCACUAAACCAAAGCUGCCUCUGUUCUCCACCGCUGUCAGGGCCAAGCUCAGACCAGGACCAAAAGUGUGGGAUGUGUUGGCCACACACUUCGAGCCCCACAGCACAAAGCAGGCAUGGAGGGCGGGUACAGGACCCAGCAGGACAGAAAAGCUGCUGGAGCAGAUUCCUGGGAACAGCAUAUCCCUCCUCUUCAGAGGUCUCCUCUUCCUUUCUGAAGCUUUACAGAUAGAUUACAGAAAAUGACCAGCAUGCAUGAUGAGGAAACUGAGACUCCAAGAGGCCAACUCACUUGCCUCAGGUGCCCUGGCCAGGAGGGGACAGCCUCCGCAGGACAGUCCAUGCUAGAUGACCCCUGGUCUGGCAUGAUUUCCAUUACGCCACUGCAUUGCAUAGCAGACAAGCUCAGUCGGAAAUGCUCUCCUAGACCCAGGCUUAGGGUCUGAAAGGUGGUUACAGACCAUUACAGACCACUUUUCCACUUUUCCAGUUGAGAAGAGCCAUCGUUUUGAAAAUACUUGUGGUAUUAGACUGAAAUGCCAAGGGCAGAGUAUGAAGACCAGCCACAAAAGGAAAAGCUCAUUCACCUUGCGCCCUCUUGUGGAGAAGAAGGCAAAGAAUACUAUCAUACUACCUUAGAAAAUGGAAAUUCAGUUCAUCCUCUUCCUCUAAAUACAGUUGCAAUACAAUAUAAUGAUCCUUGUCUUGUUUCCUGUGUCUAGAAGAAAGCUUGAUCAUCUCAUUAUUAAAGCUUCUAGAGAUGGCCUACAUUCCAUGGCUCAUGGCCCCUUCUUCCACCUUCAAGUCCAGCAAUGUAGCACAUUCAAGUUUCUCUGACUCCAACAUCCUCUUCUGCCUCCCUCUUCCAUUUAAAGACCCUUGUGAUUACACUGGACCCACCAGGAUUAUCCAAGAUAAUUCCUUAUUUCAAAGUUAGUUGAUUAGCAACCUUAAUUCCAUCUGCAAUCUUAAUUCCCCCAUGCCAGGCAACAGAACAUAGUCACAGGUUUCAGGGAUUAUAACAUGGCUAACUUUGGGGAACAUUGGUCUGCCUACCACACCUGCAUUCUCAAUGUGCUUGCAUUUCAUUUUUUGCUUUAUUAUCUUACGAUUUCCAAACUGUGCAGCUUCAAUCAUCACUUUCUUACACAACUGCAUUGAAGUCAGGAAGAAAAUGGCAAAGGGGAAAGGGAUUUCCUUUUAUCAAUAGCAAAGUCUUUCCCAAAUGCUUUCCAGGUCAUUUUUCCUUUAUUCUCAUUGCUAAUAACUGGAUCUCUUAGCCAUUCAUCCUAGCAACAAAUGAAGCUGGAAAUGUAAGUAGGUAAUGAAAAGAGAAGGCGUUGCAUUACCAUGACUGGUUUCAAAAAGAGAGAACUGCUGUUGGGCAGGCAACUAAUGGUGCCUGCUCAGAAAGCCACCAGCUCCUAAGCUUUAGUCACCUGCCUUCCCAUUUUCUGGUUUUCUCAUUCUACUAGCUGAUCACACUUUAACUCACGCUAGCAUGCAUUUUCCCCACUAACUAUUGUUUAUGCUAUGAACUUUGUAUUUGAGGAUCCUUCAGAUGUCAGCUUUGGAUUUUCAAAGAUGAAUUUUUAUAACUCAAAAAAGAAAGGAAAGAAAUGAGGAAAUUUCUCAAAAAGCCCACUAUUUAAAAAAAUUAAUGUUCUACUGGAAUUUUAAAAUAUUGGUUUUAAAGACUAUUGUUCCCACUAUGUGGUCACAAAAAACUAUUUGGAAAAACUUAAGUUUUUCUGUCGCUUGAAACAAUAUCCACUUCAGGCUCAUGACUUGAGUGAUAGAAAGGCUAUGAGGUGAGAAGGAAAUUUACUGAGAACAGCAUCAUCAGAAGUUCCUGUUUCAGAGUCUUAUCCUAUCACAAAAGUCUAUACUUAAUGCCUCCUUUCAGCUCCUCUGAUUUAGUCCUCAACUGAUUGCAGUCCAUGUUCACUCAAAGCCUUCCCUGUAAACAGUUCUAGGAAAGGGGACCAAGGAUCUUCGUACUGUCUGAUUCGAUGAGGAUUUUCAUGGCCCUGGGCAGGGAGGCACUGGAAGAAGCCCCCGUGGUAGACUCCUAGGAUGAAACUCAUGCAGGGGCGGCCUCUGCUCCUGAAGCCACUGAGGAGCGAGCCUCCAGCCUCCAAGAUGCUCUGAAGCACAAAAGGAAUGAAUCCUAAAGAGGAGCUCAGCCCUAGCUCAAUGGUUAACAGGCACUUCCUGUCUGCAGAGAGGAUUCAGUGGGAUGGUGUGUAUGAGGCACUUAUCACAGUAGCAUCAAGUGCCUAUGAAAUGUGAGCUAUUUUGUUGCUAGGAUUAGUAAACUGAUUUCCGAAAUAGGAAAAGGAGAAUCUAGUACUUAUGCUCCUUGACUGUCUUGUGUGGGAAAAAAUUAGGAAAUUUAUAAAAUCUGUAUUCCUCUCCAGCCUUCAUUAUCUCAGAGGAAAAAGUGUCUCUCUUUCUACAUCACUAUAGAAAGGUGAUCACUGUCACUAUAAGGCAGUUCCCUCAGCAGGGAAAAUAUCUUUUGUUAACUGUAAUUGGAGCCACAUUUUAAUACUGUUAGACGUUCAGUCUCCUUAUUCUGAGUUCCUCUUAGUGCUCUACAAAACAAAGCAUUAUUUUAAAAUAAAUGUGACUAUGUGCAUGACAAUGUUACAGCAGCCUUGCAAAUUACUUAGGAAAUUUCAUUAUGUUUCCAUUUAUAAAAUUAUCUUAUUAAGUAUUGCCCUCCUUUAGGAGACAUCUAUGACCGAAGGAAGGUUUGCAAUUUGCCAUUCCUGGAUGAUUUCUGAGGAGGGAAACUCACAGUAAUAACUGUUUUGCUGUUUCACUCCACAGCCAUGAUGACUGUUGAAUUUUAAAAAGGUACUGUACUGGGUUGCAAAUGAAAAAGAAACAAGUAUAUAUAAAGAAGGAAGAGAGUACUAUCCAUAGAGAGUAGGAAUUCCAGCCUGGAGUGAAGUAAUUGCCAUGAACCACGUGUCUUUCCAAAACAUGCCAGGAAAUUUUGCUAUUCAUAUUCAUCUGGAACUCAUAAGUCUCUUUCUGGACCCUUCAAGGACCCUGCCAACAGUGACUGAAACCAGAAAUGUACCUGAAAGGGCAGCUUCUAGUAGAACUGUAACAGUUCCUGGCCUUUCUGUCUAGGGAGCUUCAGCCCGCCUCCAGGAACAGAGACCACAGAUUGAAGAAGCUGAAAGUCUGCUGGAGAUCUGUUUUUCCAAGAGUAGUUCCAGAAUCAUCAGGGCACUCCAGUAACAGCUCGUUUUAUUUUAUUUUAUUUUAUUUAUUUUAUUUUAUUUUAUUUUAUUUUAUGAUGGAGUCUUGCUCUGUUGCCCAGGCUGG